rnacentral:rRNA from 1 species
UACGUAGGUGGCAAGCGUUGUCCGGAUUUACUGGGCGUAAAGGGCGUGCAGGCGGUCUGUUAAGUGCAGGGUGAAAGCUCCCGGCUCAACUGGGAGAGGUCCUUGCAUACUGGCGGACUUGAGGGGGGUAGAGGAAAGUGGAAUUCCCGGUGUAGUGGUGAUAUGCGUAGAUAUCGGGAGGAACACCUGUGGCGAAAGCGGCGAGCUGGAUCACUACUGACGCUGAGGAACGAAAGCUAGGGGAGCAAACAGG